GAGAGAGACAUGCGCGCAUAUCAAUAAGCGGAGGAAAAGAAACUAACAAGGAUUCCCUUAGUAACGGCGAGUGAAGCGGGAAGAGCUCAAAUUUGAAAUCUUCAAGGUUCUACCUUGACGAAUUGUAGUUUAUAGAAGUGUUUUCUGUUAGUGGAGUGGCAAAAGUUCUUUGGAAUAGGACAUCAUAGAGGGUGAGAAUCCCGUAUUUGGUCAUUCCUCCUAGCGUCGUGAUACACUUUCAACGAGUCGGAUUGUUUGGGAAUGCAGUCCAAAAUGGGUGGUAAAUUUCAUCUAAAGCUAAAUAUUGGCGAGAGACCGAUAGCGAACAAGUACCGUGAGGGAAAGAUGAAAAGAACUUUGAAAAGAGAGUUAAACAGUACGUGAAAUUGUCAAAAGGGAAGCGUUUGACACCAGUGUUGUUUUUCCGAAAAUCAAUUACGAAUGUUUUGUUUUUGAGGAGUUAUGACUUCAUCGGCUUGCUCCUUUCUUUACGAAACUUUCUUAAUGCACUUUUCGGUUAACAAGUCAACAUCAAUUUCUUUUGUUGUAAAAGGGUAUGAGGAAGGUGGCUUUCUUUUCGGAGAAAGUGUUUAUAGCCUUGUGCCUCUGCAAUCGGAGAGAUUGAGGUCUGCAGCGUAGAUCCUUCGGGGUUAGAUACCUUGUGCUAAGUUAUAGCUUUUCAUAGACAACUUGUUGACUAUGUUUAGUCUUGUAGCUUACUCGCUUAUCGCUAUUUUACCUACGCUUAGGAUGUUGAUAGUCACAGCGUGUAC
rnacentral:rRNA from 1 species